CCUACGGGUGGCAGCAGUGGGGAAUCUUCCACAAUGGGGGCAACCCUGAUGCAGCGACGCCGCGUGAGUGAAGAAGUAAUUCGUUAUGUAAAGCUCUGUCAGCAGGGAAGAAAAUGACGGUACCUGAGUAAUAAGCCCCGGCUAACUACGUGCCAGCAGCCGCGGGAAUACGUAGGGGGCAAGCGUUAGCCGGAUUUACGGGGUCUAAAGGUAGCGGAGACGGCAGUGCAUGUCUGGAGUGAAAGGCGGGGGCUCAACCCCCGGACUGCUCUGGAAACUGUACGGCUAGAGUGCAGGAGAGGUCAGUGGAAUUCCUAGUGUAGCGGUGGAAUGCGUAGAUAUUAGGAGGAACACCAGUGGCGAAGGCGGCUGACUGGACUGUAACUGACGUUGAGGCUCGAAAGCGUGGGGAGCAAACAGGAUUAGAUACCCGGGUAGUC
rnacentral:rRNA from 1 species